rnacentral:ncRNA from 1 species
NNNNCUCCUGGGUGACCGAUAGCGAAGUAGUACCGUGAGGGAAAGGUGAAAAGAACCCCCAGUGGGUAGUGAAAUAGAACGUGAAACCGUGCUGAGCUCCCAAGCAGUGGGAGGGGAAAGUGAUCUCUGACCACGUGCCUGUUGAAGAAUGAGCCGGCGACUCAUAGGCAGUGGCUUGGUUAAGGGAACGGAACCCACCGGAGCCGUAGCGAAAGCGAGUCUUAAUAGGGCGAUUGUCACUGCUUAUGGACCCAAACCUGGGUGAUCUAUCCAUGACCAGGAUGAAGCUUGGAUGAAACUAAGCAGAGGUCCGAACCGACUGAUGUUGAAGAAUCAACGGAUGAGUUGUGGUUAGGGGUGAAAUGCCACUCGAACCCAGAGCUAGCUGGUUCUCCCAGGCGCAACUACUCAAUGAUCUUGUGGAGCAUAUGCGGACCCACAAUGGAAAUCAAUGAGCUAACAUUUG